UGACCUUGUGGCCAAAUGGAUAGGGUGUCUGACUACGGAUUGGAAGAUUCCAGGUUCGAGUCCUGGGUUAA
rnacentral:tRNA from 1 species